rnacentral:lncRNA from 1 species
AUCGGAAAGAAGCCUCUCUGGCCAGAAAAAGAAGAAAUAACAUCCUUAAAGGAGGAACGUGUAAAUCAGGAAUUGAGCCAAGAAAAGCAUGGGAGAUGAACUUCUUCUCUGUCUCCAUAAUUCUUAAGAGGAAGAAUUAAUGAGAAUUGAAAGGAGAAGCUUCUGCUGGAAGAAUAAUGCUUGAGUUCCAGG